rnacentral:rRNA from 1 species
GACGAACGCUGGCGGCGUGUCUAAUACAUGCAAGUCGAGCGAGCGGAACCAACAGAUUUACUUCGGUAAUGACGUUGGGAAAGCGAGCGGCGGAUGGGUGAGUAACACGUGGGGAACCUGCCCCUAAGUCUGGGAUACCAUUUGGAAACAGGUGCUAAUACCGGAUAAUAAAGCAGAUCGCAUGAUCAGCUUUUGAAAGGCGGCGUAAGCUGUCGCUAAGGGAUGGCCCCGCGGUGCAUUAGCUAGUUGGUAAGGUAACGGCUUACCAAGGCGACGAUGCAUAGCCGAGUUGAGAGACUGAUCGGCCACAUUGGGACUGAGACACGGCCCAAACUCCUACGGGAGGCAGCAGUAGGGAAUCUUCCACAAUGGACGCAAGUCUGAUGGAGCAACGCCGCGUGAGUGAAGAAGGUUUUCGGAUCGUAAAGCUCUGUUGUUGGUGAAGAAGGAUAGAGGUAGUAACUGGCCUUUAUUUGACGGUAAUCAACCAGAAAGUCACGGCUAACUACGUGCCAGCAGCCGCGGUAAUACGUAGGUGGCAAGCGUUGUCCGGAUUUAUUGGGCGUAAAGCGAGCGCAGGCGGAAAAAUAAGUCUAAUGUGAAAGCCCUCGGCUUAACCGAGGAACUGCAUCGGAAACUGUUUUUCUUGAGUGCAGAAGAGGAGAGUGGAACUCCAUGUGUAGCGGUGGAAUGCGUAGAUAUAUGGAAGAACACCAGUGGCGAAGGCGGCUCUCUGGUCUGCAACUGACGCUGAGGCUCGAAAGCAUGGGUAGCGAACAG